UAUGCUAUACUGAAUAAGCUGCGCUCAGCAGCCCUUGGUGCUUAUGUCCUUUCACCAAGCAUAUUACAAACGGUAGAGCCGUCAAAGGAGAACUGAUG
rnacentral:ncRNA from 2 species